CCUAAGGUAGCGAAAUUCCUUGUCGGGUAAGUUCCGACCCGCACGAAAGGUGUAACGACUUGCGCACUGUCUCAACGAGGGACCCGGUGAAAUUGAAGUACCUGUGAAGAUGCAGGUUACCCGCGACUGGACAGAAAGACCCCAUGGAGCUUUACUGCAACCUAAGAUUGAACUUAGUUAAUGAAUGUACAGGAUAGGUGGGAGACGUAGAACCUAGGACGCUAGUUUUAGGGGAGUCGCUGUUGGGAUACCACCCUUUCAUUAAUUGAUUUCUAACGGGCCGAGUAACGACCGGCCGGACAGUCUUAGGCGGGCAGUUUGACUGGGGCGGUCGCCUCCAAAAGAGUAACGGAGGCGCCCAAAGGUUCCCUCAGAGCGGACGGAAAUCGCUCGAAGAGUGUAAAGGCAGAAGGGAGCUUGACUGCGAGACGGACAGGUCGAGCAGGGACGAAAGUCGGGCUUAGUGAUCCGGUGGUGCCGAGUGGAAGGGCCAUCGCUCAACGGAUAAAAGCUACCCUGGGGAUAACAGGCUAAUCUCUCCCAAGAGUCCAUAUCGACGGGGAGGUUUGGCACCUCGAUGUCGGCUCAUCACAUCCUGGGGCUGAAGCAGGUCCCAAGGGUUGGGCUGUUCGCCCAUUAAAGUGGUACGUGAGCUGGGUUCAGAACGUCGUGAGACAGUUCGGUCCAUAUCCAUCGCGGGCGUAAGAUACAUGAGGGAGGCUGCUCCUAGUACGAGAGGACCGGAGUGGACGGACCAACGGUGUACCGGUUGUCCUGCCAAGGGCACGGCCGGGUAGCUGCGUCCGGAAGGGAUAAACGCUGAAAGCAUCUAAGCGUGAAGCCCGUCCCGAGAUGAAGUAUCUGUUCGAAAGAACUAAGACACCUUGAAGAACACGAGGUAGAUAGGGUAGAGGUAGAAGUGCUGCAAGGCAUGGAGCUGACUACUACUAAUCUGUCGAAGACUUAACUUA
rnacentral:rRNA from 1 species